rnacentral:rRNA from 1 species
GACGAACGCUGGCGGCAGGCUUAACACAUGCAAGUCGAACGAGAUCUUCGGAUCUAGUGGCAGACGGGUGAGGAACACGUGGGAACAUCCCUUUCAGUUCGGAAUAACGUUGGGAAACUAACGCUAAUACCGGAUACGUCCUUCGGGAGAAAGAUUUAUCGCUGAAAGAUUGGCCCGCGUCUGAUUAGCUAGUCGGUGAGGUAACGGCUCACCAAGGCUACGAUCAGUAGCUGAUCUGAGAGGAUGAUCAGCCACAUUGGGACUGAGACACGGCCCAAACUCCUACGGGAGGCAGCAGUGGGGAAUAUUGGUCAAUGGGCGCAAGCCUGAUCCAGCCAUGCCGCGUGAGUGAUGACGGCCUUCGGGUUGUAAAGCUCUUUUGUCCGGGAAGAUAAUGACUGUACCGGAAGAAUAUGCCCCGGCAAACUUCGUGCCAGCCGCCGCAGUAA